GUCUCUCGAUUUUGCUUGUCGUCUUUUUAUUUGAUUGGUACUUUUGUAGCACACACGAGGCAUGUUCCUUGGUACCUUUGAGCCUUUCUAUCCACCCUUACAUAUAAUUAUCCUUUGCUUAACCAACUUGAGCUGAAAAAGAAUAUGUUAUUUUUGCAAAACCUUAAGAAAUUUUUGAUGAAAAAAAAGAAUGACUUUCUUGGAGGUUAGGCACCUAAUUAGUGGUUGAUGCGCAUUGCUCACCACUAAGUUUGGGGUUGCUCUUUGGAAUUAGC
rnacentral:lncRNA from 1 species